UGCAGUCGAACGAGAACCCGGGGGCAACCCUGGGGGAAAGUGGCGAAAGGGGCAGUAAGGCGUGGGUAACCUACCUCCGGGACGGGGAUAGCCAUCCUAACGGGUGGGUAAGACCCGGCGAGGUAGCAAAGGCGCAUGUUUUUGCUACGAAAUGAUUUAUCGCCUGGAGAGGGGCUCACGUGAUAUUAGCUGGUUGGUGGGGUAACGGCCCACCAAGGCAAAGAUGUCUAGCGGGUGUGAGAGCACGACCCGCGCCACUGGCACUGAGACACUGGCCAGACUCCUACGGGAGGCUGCAGUCGAGGAUCUUCGGCAAUGGGCGCAAGCCUGACCGAGCGACGCCGCGUGCGCGAUGAAGGCCUUCGGGUUGUAAAGCGCUGUCGAGGGGGAGGAAGGCCGUCAAAUCGGCUUGACCUAUCCCUGGAGGAAGCACGGGCUAAGUUCGUGCCAGCAGCCGCGGUAAGACGAACCGUGCAAACGUUGUUCGGAAUCACUGGGCUUAAAGGGCGCGUAGGCGGUCGACCAAGUCCGGGGUGAAAUCUUUCGGCUCAACCGGAAAAGUGCCUUGGAUACUGGUCGGCUGGAGGGAGGUAGGGGCAGGUGGAACUUCCAGUGGAGCGGUGAAAUGCGUUGAUAUUGGAAGGAACGCCGGUGGCGAAAGCGACCUGCUGGACCUCUUCUGACGCUGAGGCGCGAAAGCUAGGGGAGCAAACGGGAUUAGAUACCCCGGUAGUCCUAGCCCUAAACGAUGGGUACUAGGUUGUGGACUUAACAUGGGUUCACAGCCGAAGCAAAAGUGUUAAGUACCCCGCCUGGGGAGUAUGGUCGCAAGGCUGAAACUCAAAGGAAUUGACGGGGGCUCACACAAGC
rnacentral:rRNA from 1 species